UACAGAGGGGGCAAGCGUUAUUCGGAAUUAUUGGGCGUAAAGGGCGCGUAGGCGGCCUUUCAAGUCUCUCGUGAAAUCCCUCGGCUUAACCGAGGACGUGCGGGAGAUACUGUCAGGCUUGAGUCCGGGAGAGGGUGGUGGAAUUCCCAGUGUAGCGGUGAAAUGCGUAGAUAUUGGGAGGAACACCGGUGGCGAAGGCGGCCACCUGGGCCGGAACUGACGCUGAGGCGCGAAAGCGUGGGUAGCAAACGGG
rnacentral:rRNA from 1 species